rnacentral:rRNA from 1 species
ACAACCGUGAUACCCUUAGUAAUGGCGAAUGAAACGGGUAGAGCCCAGCACCGAACCGCCGGCCAUCUCGGUCGCGUGGAAUGUGGUGUUUGGGAAAGCCUCAUCGCAGUGAGCCGAAGCGUUCAAGUACACCUUGACUGGGACCACGGCCCGUAGAGGGUGAUAGGCCCGUGAGACCUUUGGCUUGCUGCGCUGGCUUUUCCCUAGAGUCGAGUUGUUUGGGAGUACAGCUCAAAGUGCGUGGUAAACUCCACGUAAGGCUAAAUAUGACCCCGAGACCGAUAGCGAACAAGUACCGUGAGGGAAAGUUGAAAAGCACUUUGAAGAGAGAGUUCAAGAGUACGUGAAACCGCUUAGUAGUAAACGGAGGGACUCUCGAAGUCGGCGGUGACGGUUCAGGGUGACGGCGGGGCGGCCUGGGGGCUUGGGAUCCGCAAGGACCCUGCCCUUUUGUCAGCUCUGUCGGCGCCUGCACUUCGUUGCCGCCAUACGCGAUGAACCGUUUCCGGCGGACCGAGGGCGUGGGUGAAGUUUGUUGGCCUCGGCUUUCAAGCCCCGCGUUCCUGGCUCUGUCGGGGACGGGUAGUGGAGCGAUCUCUUAUAGAGAGUGCCCUUGCUGGCACGGUUCGCAUCUCUAUCGCGAGUAGGUCGGCGGUCCCUCCGACCCGUCUUGAAACACGGACCAAGGAGUUUAACAUGUGCGCGAGCCAUUGGGUGUUCGAAACCCAAAGGCGCAGUGAAAGCAAAGUCUGACUUGUCAGAUGAGGGGUGAUCCUUCACGGGCGCAACCCCGGAGCUUCGCAUCGACCUCGCUUCGUGCGGAGCAUCAAGAGCGUACACGUUGAGACCCGAAAGAUGGUGAACUAUGCCUGGCCAGGUUGAAGUCAGGGGAAACCCUGAUGGAGGACCGUAGCGAUUCUGACGUGCAAAUCGAUCGUCGGAGCUGGGUAUAGGGGCGAAAGACUAUCAACCU